UCCAGCUCAAGGGUGGACCUGACUCACCCUGUAAUUAUGAUAGUGUGUCUCCACGAGAUGCUUAUGGCGAGACUUGUCGUGGCCGAAGUUGGAUUUCUCACAGACCAAUAGAUUUCCAGCAGAAGCUGUGGCCCAGAUUAAAGCUGUGUCCUCCUGCCCAAAGAGCUGAAUUAAAGACAUCUUCCUGCCUGUCUUUCUGCCUGGAGAUCUGAAUCAAAGAUAUGUCUUCUACCUCAAAGGUCCAGACUAGAAGUGGAUUCACCCUCUUCAAACCAAGCAAAAACAUCUCUCACAGUGCUCUUGGAAGGUCUGCCCCUACUUUGGGAAGCUGUCAUGGUCUCUGGGGAGGAUCAUCUCCACCUCAUACCCACGUGGACACAAAGUGGACCUGGUGGACUUUGAACAGCUCCAGAAGUCCCUUUGCCUACUUGCAGGAUUCUCCUGUCCUCUCCAAGCCCAGGAACCUUACGCACACCUACCUCGUUCUGCCCUGCCCAGGUAUAGGCCGUUUAAUCAACCAAUCAG